rnacentral:lncRNA from 1 species
AUGGAGGUUCCCAGGCUAGCGUUUGAAUUGGAGCUGCAGCUGCUGGCCUAUACCACAGCCACAGGAACACAGGACCCAAGCCAAGUCUGUGACCUACACCACAGCUCAAGGCAACGCCAGAUCCUUAACCCACUGAUCAAACCUGCAUCCUUUUGGAUGUUAGUCAGAUUAACCACUGAGCCACGAUGGGAAUUCCCACUCUAUUUUAUUUUUAUAUAUAUUUUUUUGUCUUUUUCUUUUCUUUUUUUUUUUUGGUCUUUUUAGGGCCGCACCCGUGGCAUAUGGAAGUUCCCAGGCAAGGGGUCGAAUUGGAGCUGCAGCCGCCGGCCUACGCCACAGCCACAGCAACUCGGGAUCUGAGCCUCGUCUGCAACCUACACCACAGCCAUGGCAAUGCCGGAUCCUUAACCCACUGAGUGAGGCCAGGGAUCGAACCGCAGCCUCAUGGUUCCUAGUCGGAUUCAUUUCCACCGUGCCACGACGGGAACUCCUUAACCCAUAUUUCAGCAGAGCUGAGUGACUGAGGGCACAUGGAGGCGGCUACCCCAGCCUGAAUCCCAGCUCCACGACUUACUAGCUGUGUGAGUUUGGGCCAGAAACUCUGUGUCUCUGAGCCAAACUUUCUUCAUCUGUAAAAUAAGGAAGGGACAACUCUCACCUAAUGAGUCUGAGGUGAUGUGACAUAAAAGGCUUAGCACAGCGUCCAUCACAUGGAAGCUUGAAGCAUAUUAGUGAUCUGUUGUGAUCUAUCCAUUUCCCCCAAAUCUCUGCCAUGCUGGACCAUCUGCCAGCUGCGGAACAUGUCAGGCCUUGAAGACUGUCACGGCUGGAGGUCUUUGCUCACACCUGGGCUCUACCUAGCAUGCCUUCCUCUCUCUGUCCAUCCUCUGUGUCAAGGCCUGGAUCAGUGCUACCCCUCCUCUGAGACUUCCUGUCCCACCGGUCCCUCCCCUGGCCUUUCUGAGGCUGGGUUCACUACUGCCUCACUCGUCCCUCCCACUGCGUCACACCCUUCCUGAGCAUGUGCGGAAGUAGCCUUGCUCUGAGCUCCAGCCACAGGCCCACACAGAUAUCUGAGGGAAGUGCCAGCUUUCAGGGAAACUCAGUGAUCAAACUGAGUCCGACAGUCCUCCCGCAUCCUGCCCUGUGCCCUCCCGAGCCUCAGCGUCCUCUGCUGUAACUAAGGCAACGUGGUCCAACAAGGCAAUGGUGAAGAUAAAGGAGAAAGCAUUGGUCAAGGCCCCCUUUCUCCCUCCCCGUCUCC